rfam:Schistosoma haematobium scaffold435_7, whole genome shotgun sequence.
AUCCAGCUGACAAGUUUUAACUGGGAUGAAACGCGCGUCCUGGAU